CUUUUGCUGGCGGCGCGCCUAACACAUGCAAGUCGAACGAGCGAGAGGGAGCUUGCUUUCUCGAGCGAGUGGCGAACGGGUGAGUAACGCGUGAGGAACCUGCCUCAAAGAGGGGGACAACAGUUGGAAACGACUGCUAAUACCGCAUAAGCCCACGGUGCCGCAUGGCACAGAGGGAAAAGGAGCAAUCCGCUUUGAGAUGGCCUCGCGUCCGAUUAGCUAGUUGGUGAGGUAAUGGCCCACCAAGGCAACGAUCGGCAGCCGGACUGAGAGGUUGAACGGCCACAUUGGGACUGAGACACGGCCCAGACUCCUACGGGAGGCAGCAGUGGGGAAUAUUGCACAAUGGGGGAAACCCUGAUGCAGCGACGCCGCGUGGAGGAAGAAGGUCUUCGGAUUGUAAACUCCUGUUGUUGGGGAAGAUAAUGACGGUACCCAACAAGGAAGUGACGGCUAACUACGUGCCAGCAGCCGCGGUAAAACGUAGGUCACAAGCGUUGUCCGGAAUUACUGGGUGUAAAGGGAGCGCAGGCGGGAAGACAAGUUGGAAGUGAAAUCUAUGGGCUCAACCCAUAAACUGCUUUCAAAACUGCUUUUCUUGAGUAGUGCAGAGGUAGGCGGAAUUCCCGGUGUAGCGGUGGAAUGCGUAGAUAUCGGGAGGAACACCAGUGGCGAAGGCGGCCUACUGGGCACCAACUGACGCUGAGGCUCGAAAGUGUGGGUAGCAAACAGGAUUAGAUACCCUGGUAGUCCACACCGUAAACGAUGAUUACUAGGUGUUGGAGGAUUGACCCCUUCAGUGCCGCAGUUAACACAAUAAGUAAUCCACCUGGGGAGUACGACCGCAAGGUUGCAAGGGAAAGGAAUUGACGG
rnacentral:rRNA from 1 species